GAGGAGCAGAUAUCAGGCACUACUUUGCCCAUAACAUCUUGCUAAGCCACACCUCCACAGGAAUUCAGCAGUAGUAAAUAUUGAACAUAAGCGUCAAUAAGCUUGACUCAGUAAUAAUUUCAAGAGUUGGUAAAUUUCGUGCCAGCCACCGCGGUUAUACGAAAAACCCAAAUUAAUAAAAACGGCCCAAAGCGUGGUUAAAUUAUAUUAAACAUAAUAGAAAUGAAAAUUAACUUAACUGUCAUACGUAACCGUUAAACGUAAAACCAAAAACGAAAGUUAUUCUAAUAAAAAAAUCACUUGAACCCACGACCGCUAAGAAACAAACUAGGAUUAGAUACCCUACUUGCUAGCUAAGUUAA
rnacentral:rRNA from 1 species